rnacentral:lncRNA from 1 species
GGCACCUGACUUCAACAAAUUUGAAAAUAAAAUCCUAUUUGAGGGCGGAUGAACCUAAAAUAUCCUAUUUUGAGGGCGGAUGAACCCAACAUAUCCUAUUUGAGGGCGGAUGAACCCAACAUAUCCUAUUUGAGGGCGGAUGAACCCAACAUAUCCUAUUUGAGGGCGAUGAACCCAACUAGGAAGUGCGUCUCCUACGAGUAAAACUAUGUGAACCAAAAUCAGGAAGUGUGUCUUCUAGUGGUAAACUCUCAUUUUUAGGAAGUGCGUCUCCUAAAGCAAAAUACAACCUGAACGACCCAGACUACGAAAUGCAUUUUCUAGGGGUGAAACUUCAAUGAUUCAAACUAGGAAGUGCGUCUCCU